rnacentral:lncRNA from 1 species
GACAAAGUUAUUAAACCCCUUUGGCCUUCAGCUUCAGCAUCACUUCCACGGCAGUGCCCUGGGCAGAGUGUUUCUGAGUCCCUGUUGUUGGCCAGGCCCUGGGUGGGGUGCUGGGGGCUCGGGGCAGGGAGACGGAACCCACCUCAAGUCUGGAAAGGCAGAUGGGCAGGGCCUCUCCUCCUGACUGUCCCCGUCAUGGCUGCCUUGCACAGGCCACUGCCCCCUCCCCUCCCUGAUGCCACAGGCCAGUCAGAUGAUGGAAGGUUCCCGAAUGCCAGGGCACCACACAGAUGGAAGCUGUCAUCGGCACUGUCAUAACUGCAACCCUUCGCAGGCCAGUCUGGAAGCAAAAGGCCAGAAAAGAGAGAAGGAGCUAGUGUCAUUUCCGAGCUGGCGAGUGCUAAUGUGACACAAUAGUCACUAUUUAAAUCCCAGGACUUUGGGGAAUUUGAAAUAUAUUUUACUUAAAUGUUGAAUGACUACAACCCAAAGUAUUAUUUCAGGUGCAUGUUUUAAAUCAGGCUUUUCAUCUUGCGCUGUAGGUGGCUGAGUUUGUACAGUCUCUGCUGGGCUACGAAGAACAUGCCAAGUGCUUCAAGAAAGAGGGUAAUUUUGUUUUUCCUUGACUGGGAGAGAUUGAGGCUGCAGUGGACCUGGCGGGCUCCCAGAGAGGGUGGAGGAUGGGGAGAAAGGGCUCAGGAACAUGCCUGGAGGAGCCCUGUGUCCCAGACCUGGCAGAGAAGACCUGACAAGGACAGCAGAGGGUCAGGCAGGAGCCAGGAGAACUUCGAGUCUCAGUCAGGCUCCAUCUCAGCUGAUCCAUUCAGGAAAUGGGAAGAAUGCUACCUGACCCACAGUCCUACACACACUGAGUAGGGGUUUGUGACUCCUGACAGCCAGGCCGGCCCUCUGUGGCCCGGGUGCAGGGCCCAUCCUGCGCCUUGUCCUCACCUCCCUGAGUGUCAGGGGCUCUCUGAUGCAUUUGCUCGCCACCUCAUCCUUGCAUUCCGAGGACCGGAACCCCCGAACCUUGGAGCUGUCACCCUGCCCUUGGCCAUCAGCUCAGGUCUUCAGAUCCCAGUUUCCCUCCUUCUCCUGCACUGUCCUCCCCUCAGGGCGGCCCUGUGUCUUCUGUCCUCUGAUUCAGGACUCACUCCUCUAAAGGACCUGGGCCAGGAGCCUGGCCCCAGAGCCCCAGGUCAUCCCCAAUAUGCAGAAACCGGAGUUGCCAUGUGAGCAGCUGCUGUGGAGGAGAAAACUGCUCCUCCAUGUCUAGACCUUUGGCCUCCUUCCCUCUGCCCUCUGUUGACUGGCGCGGUCAAUCAGGGCUGCUGGACACUGUUUGUGGCACUGCUCCAGGCAUCCAGGGCAGCAGCACCCGCCACGUGUGGCUAUUUAAAUUUAAUUAGUUAGAUUUACAUUAAAUAAUGCAGCUCCUUGGACCUGAAACCAAUGCCAUGUGAGACAUCCAUUAUCUCUAAAAUAAAAAAAAUUUUAAAAACCCUUUCA